CAGGUGAAGAGAAUUCAUGAAUACAAACGUCAAUUGAUGAAUAUCCUAGGAAUUGUUUACCGCUAUAAAAAGAUGAAAGAAAUGAGUGCAAAAGAAAGGAUAUCAAGCUUUGUUCCCCGGGUUUGUAUAUUUGGAGGAAAAGCAUUUUCUACAUAUGUGCAGGCAAAAAGAAUAGUAAAAUUCAUCACUGAUGUCGGGGCUAUCAUAAAUCAUGAUCCAGAAAUAGGGGAUUUACUGAAGGUUGUUUUCGUUCCUGAUUAUAAUGUCAGUGUUGCAGAGCUG
rnacentral:misc_RNA from 1 species